rfam:Colletotrichum chlorophyti strain NTL11 CCHL11_scaffold251, whole genome shotgun sequence.
GCCUUGGUGGCUCAGUGGUAAAGCGUCUCACUCGUAAUGAGAAGAUCGGGCGUUCGAUUCGCCCUCGAGGCA